UACGUAGGGUGCAAGCGUUGUCCGGAAUUAUUGGGCGUAAAGCGCGUGUAGGCGGCUUGGUAAGUCUGCUCUGAAAGCCCGGGGCUCAACCCCGGGAGGCGGGUGGAUACUGUCAAGCUCGAGUCCGGAAGAGGAGUGUGGAAUUCCUGGUGUAGCGGUGAAAUGCGCAGAUAUCAGGAAGAACACCCGUGGCUAAGGCGGUUCUCUAGUACGGUACUGACGCUGAGACGCGAAAGCGUGGGGAGCGAACAGG
rnacentral:rRNA from 1 species